rnacentral:rRNA from 1 species
AGCGAACGCUGGCGGCAGGCCUAACACAUGCAAGUCGAACGAACCUUUCGGGGUUAGUGGCGGACGGGUGAGUAGCACGUGGGAACGUGCCUUUAUGUUCGGAAUAACUCAGGGAAACUUGUGCUAAUACCGAAUGUGCCCUUCUGGGGAAAGAUUAAUCGCCUUUAGAGCGGCCCGCGUCUGAUUAGCUAGUUGGUUGAGGUAAUGGCUCACCAAGGCUACGAUCAGUAGCUGGUCUGAGAGGAUGAUCAGCCACAUUGGGACUGAGACACGGCCCAAAAUCCUACGGGAGGCAGCAGUGGGGAAUCUUGCGCAAUGGGCGAAAGCAUGACGCAGCCAUGCCGGGUGAAUGAUGAAGGUCUUAGGAUUGUAAAAUUCUUUCACCGGGGACGAUAAUGACGGUACCCGGAGAAGAAGCCCCGGCUAACUUCGUG